rnacentral:rRNA from 1 species
AGAGUUUGAUUAUGGCUCAGGAUGAACGCUAGCUACAGGCUUAACACAUGCAAGUCGAGGGGAAACGAUAUUGGAAGCUUGCUUCCGAUAGGCGUCGACCGGCGCACGGGUGAGUAACGCGUAUCCAACCUGCCCACCACUUGGGGAUAACCUUGCGAAAGUAAGACUAAUACCCAAUGAUAUCUCUAGAAGACAUCUGAAAGAGAUUAAAGAUUUAUCGGUGAUGGAUGGGGAUGCGUCUGAUUAGCUUGUUGGCGGGGUAACGGCCCACAGGCGACGAUCAGUAGGGUUCUGAGAGGAAGGUCCCCCACAUUGGAACUGAGACACGGUACCAAACUCCGUACGGGAGGCA